CGCGGCCUAUCAGCUUGUUGGUGAGGUAACGGCUCACCAAGGCAUCGACGGGUAGCUGGUCUGAGAGGACGAUCAGCCACACUGGGACUGAGACACGGCCCAGACUCCUACGGGAGGCAGCAGUAGGGAAUCUUGCACAAUGGGCGAAAGCCUGAUGCAGCGACGCCGCGUGGGGGAUGAAGGCCCUCGGGUUGUAAACCCCUUUCAGUGGGGACGAAACUGACGGUACCCACAGAAGAAGGUCCGGCCAACUACGUGCCAGCAGCCGCGGUAACACGUAGGGACCGAGCGUUGUCCGGAAUUAUUGGGCGUAAAGAGCUCGUAGGUGGUUCAGUAAGUCGAAUGUGAAAACUCAAGGCUCAACCUUGAGACGCCAUCCGAUACUGCUGUGACUAGAGUUCGGUAGAGGAGUGUGGAAUUCCUGGUGUAGCGGUGAAAUGCGCAGAUAUCAGGAGGAACACCGACGGCGAAGGCAGCACUCUGGGCCGGUACUGACGCUCAGGAGCGAAAGCGUGGGUAGCAAACAGGAUUAGAUACCCUGGUAGUCCACGCCGUAAACGUUGGGCACUAGGUGUGGGACCUUAUCAACGGGUUCUGUGCCGUAGCUAACGCAUUAAGUGCCCCGCCUGGGGAGUACGG
rnacentral:rRNA from 1 species